GGGGAAUCGACUAACACUCAUCAACCCUGUGACAUACCUAAUGGUUGCCUCGGCGGGAACAGACGGCCCCGUGAAAACGGGCCGCCCCCGCCAGAGGACCCCCUAACUCUGUUUCUAUAAUGUUUCUUCUGAGUAAAACAAGCAAAUAAAUUAAAACUUUCAACAACGGAUCUCUUGGCUCUGGCAUCAAUAAAGAACGCAACGGAAUGCGAUAAGUAAUGUGAAUUGCAUAAUUCAAUGAAUCAUCCAAUCUUUGAACGCACAUUGCGCCCGCCAUUAUUCUGGCGGGCAUGCCUGUUCGAGCGUCAUUACCACCCUCAGGCCCCCGGGCCUGGAGUUGGGGAUCGGCGGAGGCCCUCCGUGGGCACACGCCGUCCCCCAAAUACAGUGGCGGUCCCGCCGCACCUUCCAUCGCGUAAUACCUAACACCUCGCGACUGGAAAGCGGCGCGGCCACGCCGUACAACCCCCAACUCUUCUGAAGUUGACCUCGAAUCAGGUAGGAAUCCCGCUGAAAUUAAGCAUAUCAAUAAGCGGAGGAA
rnacentral:rRNA from 1 species